rnacentral:lncRNA from 1 species
UGCCUCUCAAAGCACUUCAUGAUGACAUAAGUGAGUGCGGCGGUAAGGCCUAUUGUGGGACUAAAGAUGCGUUUCAAUGGUUUCGGAGUUGGAAAAGAGGUUAGUCUAUUAUGCGAGGGUAGGGCUGAAUACUAGCCCAGCUAGGGUGAGAUACUUUUGUAAGACGAGAGUGCUUACUAUGAGAAUAACAGAAGGAAGUUGGGGAUGUCCUAUGGGUUGGUAGAUAGACGCUUCAUGGUGCUAUCUGUAAAUGCCAUCUGACUUGACUUUCCCAUGAGCUUUUCAUACAUUUAACAAUGCAUCUAUAAAAUACACCAAGUUAGAGAUGGCUUCCCUUUUCUCACAACAGAUAUCAGACAAUUCCAUAUUUUCACUUCCCAGAAUCCCUCAAUAACCCAAAAGCCUAAAACUGCAUUUCAUCCACAGCACAAAUGUAAUUUAUUACAACUGUUUUUAUUACGGCCAUACAGGUUACAGAGAAUACAGCGACGAUGCAUAUUGCAAAAGUCUGAGAAAAAUAUGCACUCACAAGCCCUACGUGCAAAUGUGGUGUCUGAAGAAACAAAUAUGACUGAUAUGUAACUAUGUUUUGUCAACUGUCAAAAAAAGGACAAAAGGGAAGAUAAUGAGGAACGUCUCACUAACAUCUCAUAAGGCGUCUAAGGAGAGGACAAAGACGAGUUCAAACGAUAUUGAGGAUUGGUCCCAGUCGUUCAAAACAUCAAACAAUUCAGAUGUUUUCCAUCGAAAUCCACCGCCCAAAAGGGACCCGUAAAGCACAUAGAAUUACAUCAGAGAAAAAGAGGUAGAAGAGAGAAAGAGAGAGAAGUGACAGAGAGAGAGGGAAAAUUCUUGAAGUAUGAGAAAAUGUUACUUGCUCUCCUCCUCUCUCUCUCUCUCUCUCUUUCCUUCUCUCUCCCACUCUCCUAUCCCCCCUCCCUUUCUCUUGGUCAGUCAAAUCAGAGCUUUCCAAGAGCAGGGAGAGGGAGCUUUGGACUGACUGACAGACAUUGGUCAGGGAGAGGGGUACAGUCUAGCCAGGGAAAUUCUUUGAGUCUUUGAAUAUCCUCCACUUUGAGGCAACGGUUCUACAGAUUCCCAUGAAUAAGACAACCUCUUGAUAAGAAAACCCCUUGACCUGUAGGCACCGCCACAGCAGAGAGUUCAUCCGUCUGCCCCGGCCUUUCCUUGAAAACGGUCAUUUUUUGAAGUGAUCUACUCUCAGUUUCUCAUCAACCAACAAAGACAAUUGCCCUCCCCCUCCACCUG